ACCGGCAGCUCAAGUGGUGGCCAUUUUUAUUGGGCCUAAAGCGUUCGUAGCCGGCUUGAUAAGUCUCUGGUGAAAUCUCGCAGCUUAACUGUGGGACUUGCUGGAGAUACUAUUAGACUUGAGGUCGGGAGAGGUUAGGGGUACUCCCAGGGGUGGGGUGAAAUCCUAUAAUCCUGGGAGGACCAUUUGUGGCGAAGGCGCCUAACUGGAACGAACCUGACGGUGAGUAAUUUUUUCCAGGGGCGCGAACCG
rnacentral:rRNA from 1 species